GAUGAACGCUGGCGGCACGCCUAACACAUGCAAGUCGAACGAAGUGUGAGGAAGCUUGCUUCCAAUCACUUAGUGGCGGACGGGUGAGUAACACGUGAGCAACCUGCCUCUUGGUUUGGGAUACCGUUUGGAAACGAACGCUAAUACCGAAUAAUAUAGCGGAUUCGCAUGUUUCUGCUAUCAAAGAUUUAUUGCUGAAAGAUGGCCUCGCGUCUGAUUAGCUAGUUGGUGGGGUAACGGCCCGCCAAGGCGACGAUCAGUAGCCGGACUGAGAGGUUGACCGGCCACAUUGGGACUGAGAUACGGCCCAG
rnacentral:rRNA from 1 species